AACGAACGCUGGCGGCAUGCCUUACACAUGCAAGUCGAACGGAAAGGCCCUGCUUUUGUGGGGUGCUCGAGUGGCGAACGGGUGAGUAACACGUGAGUAACCUGCCCUUGACUUUGGGAUAACUUCAGGAAACUGGGGCUAAUACCGGAUAGGAGCUCCUGCUGCAUGGUGGGGGUUGGAAAGUUUCGGCGGUUGGGGAUGGACUCGCGGCUUAUCAGCUUGUUGGUGGGGUAGUGGCUUACCAAGGCUUUGACGGGUAGCCGGCCUGAGAGGGUAACCGGCCACAUUGGGACUGGGAUACGGCCCAGACUCCUACGGGAGGCAGCAGUAGGGAAUAUUGCACAAUGGGCGGAAGCCUGAUGCAGCAACGCCGCGUGCGGGAUGACGGCCUUCGGGUUGUAAACCGCUUUCGCCUGUGACGAAGCGUGAGUGACGGUAAUGGGUAAAGAAGCACCGGCUAACUACGUGCCAGCCGCCGCCGUAAUAC
rnacentral:rRNA from 1 species